rnacentral:rRNA from 1 species
CACAUGCAGUCGAGCGGAUGAAGGGAGCUUGCUCCUUGAUUCAGCGGCGGACGGGUGAGUAAUGCCUAGGAAUCUGCCUGGUAGUGGGGGACAACGUCUCGAAAGGGACGCUAAUACCGCAUACGUCCUACGGGAGAAAGCAGGGGACCUUCGGGCCUUGCGCUAUCAGAUGAGCCUAGGUCGGAUUAGCUAGUUGGUGAGGUAAUGGCUCACCAAGGCGACGAUCCGUAACUGGUCUGAGAGGAUGAUCAGUCACACUGGAACUGAGACACGGUCCAGACUCCUACGGGAGGCAGCAGUGGGGAAUAUUGGACAAUGGGCGAAAGCCUGAUCCAGCCAUGCCGCGUGUGUGAAGAAGGUCUUCGGAUUGUAAAGCACUUUAAGUUGGGAGGAAGGGUUGUAGAUUAAUACUCUGCAAUUUUGACGUUACCGACAGAAUAAGCACCGGCUAACUCUGUGCCAGCAGCCGCGGUAAUACAGAGGGUGCAAGCGUUAAUCGGAAUUACUGGGCGUAAAGCGCGCGUAGGUGGUUUGUUAAGUUGGAUGUGAAAGCCCCGGGCUCAACCUGGGAACUGCAUUCAAAACUGACAAGCUAGAGUAUGGUAGA